rnacentral:rRNA from 1 species
UGUUGCUUGCAAGGGCGUAUGGUGGAUGCCUUGGCAGACAGGACCGAUGAAGGACGUUUGAGGCUGCGAUAUGCCUCGGGGAGCCGCCAACAGGGCUUUGAUCCGAGGAUUUCCGAAUGGGGGAACCCACCGACCGUCAUGGGUCGGUACCGGCUUCGGCCGGGGGGUACGCAGGGAAGUGAAACAUCUCAGUACCUGCAGGAAAGGAUAUUCCGUGAGUAGUGGCGAGCGAAAGCGGAUGAUGGCCAAACCUUGCGCGUGUGAUACCCGUCGGGGGUUGCGCGCGGGGUGUUGCGGGAUCGCGUGCGCCGGCUCCGACGGGCCGGCCGGCAGUUGCAGAAAACCAUGUGUCAGGGGAACCGGGUUGAAUACCGGGCCGCAGAGGGUGAGGGCCCCGUACCUGAACGCGCAUGGUCUGUCGAUCGCGUCUCCCAAGUAGCACGGGUCCCGUGGAACCCCGUGCGAAUCCGCCCAGACCGUUGGGUAAGCCUGAAUAUUCCUGUCUGACCGAUAGCGAACGAGUACCGUGAGGGAAAGGUGAAAAGUACCCCGGGAGGGGAGUGAAACAGUCUCUGAAACCGUGCGCCUACAAUCCGUCGGAGCCCUUUUGUGGGGUGACGGCGUGCCUAUCGAAAAAUGAGUCUGCGAGUCAGUGGCAUGUGGCGAGCAUAACCCGUGUGGGGUAUGCGUAGCGAAGGCGAGUCUUAAAAGGCGUUUGAGUCGCGUGUCCUGGACCCGAAGCGGGAUGAUCUAGCCCUGAGCAGGUUGAAGCGCGGGUAAGACCGCGUGGAGGACCGAACCCACCUGGGUUGAAAACCGGGGGGAUGACUUGGGGCUAGGGGUGAAAGGCCAAUCAAAUUCCGUGAUAGCUGGUUCUCUCCGAAAUGCAUUUGGGUGCAGCGUCGGGUCAUUACGUCCCGGGGGUAGAGCUACUGGAUGCUUGCGGGCCCGUAUCGGGUACCAACAGCAACCAAACUCCGAAUACCGGUGACGCGUAUCCCGGCAGUGAGUCGGCGGGGGAUAAGCUUCGUCGUCGAAAGGGAAACAGCCCAGACCGUCGUCUAAGGUCCCGAAGCGUGUGCUAAGUGGGAAAGGAUGUGGAGUCGCAUAGACAGCCAGGAGGUUGGCUCAGAAGCAGCCACCCUUGAAAGAGUGCGUAACAGCUCACUGGUCUAGUGGUUCCGCGCCGACAAUGUAGCGGGGCUCAAGCACACCACCGAAGACGCGGCAGUAUUUUGUACUGGGUAGGAGAGCGUCCCAUGAGGGGCGAAGCGGCCGUGUGAACGCGCCGUGGACUUCAUGGGAGUGAGAAUGCAGACAUGAGUAGCGAGAGACGGGUGAAGAUCCCGUCCGCUGGAUGACCAAGGGUUCCAGGGCCACGUUCAUCGUCCCUGGGUGAGUCGGGUCCUAAGGCGAGGCCGACAGGCGUAGUCGAAUGGAUGAACGGGUCGAUAUUCCCGUACCGGCUUUCAGCCGCCAAAACCGAGGCUUGGAGUACUAACCUCCGGGUCCGGGCUUACUGCUCCUUCGGGGGCGGGAUGCCUUGGCCUGUUGGGACCGAUCCUUGUAGUAGGUCAGCGCAGGAGUGACGCAGAAGGGUAGCCGGCCGCGGAGGUGGUCUUCCGUGGUCAAGCACGCAGGGCGUGGGACAGGCAAAUCCGUCCCGCAUGGGUCCGAGGUGCGAUGAUGGGGGCCUUAUGGCCCGAUAUCCGGUGAUCCCGGCUGCCGAGAAAAGCUUCGGCGUCAGGCUCGAAGCCGCCCGUACCCCAAACCGACACUGGUGGUCAGGUAGAGAAUACCAAAGCGAUCGAGCGAAUCCUGGUCAAGGAACUCGGCAAAUCACUCCCGUUCCUUCGGUUUAAGGGAGACCCCCGAUGGUGAACACACUUGCUGUGGGAGCUUUUGGGGGUGGCACAGACCAGGGGGUAGCGACUGUUUACCAAAAACACAGGUGCAUGCGAAGGCGCAAGCCGCUGUAUAUGCACUGACGCCUGCCCGGUGCCGGAAGGUUAAGAGGAUCCGUCAGCCUUCGGGUGAAGCGGUGAAUUCAAGCCCCGGUAAACGGCGGUGGUAACUAUAACCAUCCUAAGGUAGCGAAAUUCCUUGUCGGGUAAGUUCCGACCUGCACGAAUGGCGUAAUGAUGGCCAGGCUGUCUCCACCCGAGACUCAGUGAAAUUGAACUCGCUGUGAAGAUGCAGUGUACCCGCGGCAAGACGGAAAGACCCCGUGAACCUUUACUAUAGCUUGACACUGAACAUUGAGCCUUGAUGUGUAGGAUAGGUGGGAGGCUUUGAAGUGUGGACGCCAGUCUGCAUGGAGCCGACCUUGAAAUACCACCCUUUAAUGUUUGAUGUUCUAACGUUGACCCGUAAUCCGGGUUGCGGACAGUGUCUGGUGGGUAGUUUGACUGGGGCGGUCUCCUCCUAAAGAGUAACGGAGGAGCACGAAGGUUGGCUAAUCCUGGUCGGACAUCAGGAGGUUAGUGCAAUGGCAUAAGCCAGCUUGACUGCGAGCGUGACGGCGCGAGCAGGUGCGAAAGCAGGUCAUAGUGAUCCGGUGGUUCUGAAUGGAAGGGCCAUCGCUCAACGGAUAAAAGGUACUCCGGGGAUAACAGGCUGAUACCGCCCAAGAGUUCAUAUCGACGGCGGUGUUUGGCACCUCGAUGUCGGCUCAUCACAUCCUGGGGCUGAAGUAGGUCCCAAGGGUAUGGCUGUUCGCCAUUUAAAGUGGUACGCGAGCUGGGUUUAGAACGUCGUGAGACAGUUCGGUCCCUAUCUGCCGUGGGCGCUGGAGAACUGAGGGGGGCUGCUCCUAGUACGAGAGGACCGGAGUGGACGCAUCACUGGUGUUCGGGUUGUCAUGCCAAUGGCACUGCCCGGUAGCUAAAUGCGGAAGAGAUAAGUGCUGAAAGCAUCUAAGCACGAAACUUGCCCCGAGAUGAGUUCUCCCUGACUCCUUGAGAGUCCUGAAGGAACGUUGAAGACGACGACGUUGAUAGGCCGGGUGUGUAAGCGCAGCGAUGCGUUGAGCUAACCGGUACUAAUGAACCGUGAGGCUUAACCUU